ACUGCUGCAUGGAGGAGGGCAUAAAAUAAAACAAGCGUGGUUCGUCUAAGUCUCAUACCCUACAUGUGCCAUUUGCAGCAAUGCAGUGCCAUCAGACACAGAGGUCUAAUUCGCUAAAUGCCGAAUAUGCUUUUGGAAUUUCGCCUGAUUGCAUUCAACUCAAUUUAUUUCAUUAACAACAGAAUUGUAAUUGAACUGAACCAAAUGGAUCUCUCCUCUUUUCAAACUGAUCUCAUUGCUGCAGUUAGAUUAAUUUAAAAACAGCUCAACCGAAUUACAGCCAAAUUGCAGCCAAAUUGCUGCAAAUGUCGUCCGCAGUUUGGCACGAGCUGUCAGCAAGUCUAAAAG